GACGAACGCUGGCGGCGUGCUUAACACAUGCAAGUCGAACGAAGAGCGAUGGAAGCUUGCUUCUAUCAAUCUUAGUGGCGAACGGGUGAGUAACGCGUAAUCAACCUGCCCUUCAGAGGGGGACAACCGUUGGAAACGACUGCUAAUACCGCAUACGAUCUAAUCUCGGCAUCGAGGAAAGAUGAAAGGUGGCCUCUAUUUAUAAGCUAUCACUGAAGGAGGGGAUUGCGGCUGAUUAGCUAGUUGGAGGGGUAACGGCCCACCAAGGCGAUGAUCAGUAGCCGGGCUGAGAGGAUGGACGGCCACAUUGGGACUGAGACACGGCCCAGACUCCUACGGGAGGCAGCAGUGGGGAAUCUUCCGCAAUGGACGAAAGUCUGACGGAGCAACGCCGCGUGAGUGAUGACGGCCUUCGGGUUGUAAAGCUCUGUUAAUCGGGAAGAAAGGCCUUCUUGCGAACAGUUAGAAGGAUUGACGGUACCGGAAUAGAAAGCCACGGCUAACUACGUG
rnacentral:rRNA from 1 species